rnacentral:rRNA from 1 species
AUCCUGGCUCAGGACGAACGCUGGCGGCGUGCUUAACACAUGCAAGUCGAGCGAUGAAGCUCCUUCGGGAGUGGAUUAGCGGCGGACGGGUGAGUAACACGUGGGUAACCUACCUCAAAGAGGGGGAUAGCCUCCCGAAAGGGAGAUUAAUACCGCAUAAUAAUCAGUUUUCACAUGGAGAUUGAUUUAAAGGAGUAAUCCGCUUUGAGAUGGACCCGCGGCGCAUUAGCUAGUUGGUAGGGUAACGGCCUACCAAGGCGACGAUGCGUAGCCGACCUGAGAGGGUGAUCGGCCACAUUGGAACUGAGAGACGGUCCAGACUCCUACGGGAGGCAGCAGUGGGGAAUAUUGCACAAUGGGCGAAAGCCUGAUGCAGCAACGCCGCGUGAGUGAAGAAGGUUUUCGGAUUGUAAAGCUCUGUCUUUGGGGACGAUAAUGACGGUACCCAAGGAGGAAGCCACGGCUAACUACGUGCCAGCAGCCGCGGUAAUACGUAGGUGGCGAGCGUUGUCCGGAAUUACUGGGCGUAAAGAGUGCGUAGGCGGAUAUUUAAGUGAGAUGUGAAAUACCCGGGCUUAACCCGGGCACUGCAUUUCAAACUGGAUAUCUAGAGUGCGGGAGAGGAGAAUGGAAUUCCUAGUGUAGCGGUGAAAUGCGUAGAGAUUAGGAAGAACACCAGUGGCGAAGGCGAUUCUCUGGACCGUAACUGACGCUGAGGCACGAAAGCGUGGGUAGCAAACAGGAUUAGAUACCCUGGUAGUCCACGCCGUAAACGAUGAGUACUAGGUGUAGGAGGUAUCGACCCCUUCUGUGCCGCAGUAAACACAAUAAGUACUCCGCCUGGGAAGUACGAUCGCAAGAUUAAAACUCAAAGGAAUUGACGGGGGCCCGCACAAGCAGCGGAGCAUGUGGUUUAAUUCGAAGCAACGCGAAGAACCUUACCUGGACUUGACAUACCCUGAAUAUCUUAGAGAUAAGAGAAGCCUUCGGGGCAGGGAUACAGGUGGUGC